AGUUAUAUCUCAGCGACUCAGCCCAUCUGGAACUUGAGGUUUUUUAAUUUCUAAGAGCCCAUUAAAUAUUUUCAUGGAGAGACACGAAGACGAAGAUUCAAGAAUUCUAAAUUCUAAUUUUGAUUUGGAUCAUGUUGGUGAGGUUUCUCUUACCCUAAAUUCUGAUGAGCUUUCUUGGAUCAAGGUUGAUUCUUUCAAUAAAAAUAAUGACACUGGAUCAUCUUGUUUGGGCAAACAGUUAGUUUCCAGAAGGAGUACUACAAUCAAAUUUUCUGAUGCAUAUGCGGUUGAGUUCAUUGAUUGGGGUGUGAUUCAUGAACCUGUUCUUGGAAAUGCCCCUGGUCGCCUUCUCGGCCGUGCAUCUGAGAUGUUUCGCUUCACAGUACACUGUUUCCGGAGAUCCAAGACUCAGCCUUCCCUCUGGAAAACGUCUAUUUAUACUUUCGGUCACAAGGAUCUAGGAACAUGUCAUUUAUGGGUGACUCGCAUCAAUUUCUCUCUGAACAUGGAAGUAGGGCGACCUAAAAGUCUUUUGGUGUUUGUUCAUCCGAGGAGUGGAAAAGGAAAUGGUUGUCGUAUUUGGGAUGAGGUGGCUCCUAUAUUUCGUCUCGCUCAAGUACGAACAAAGGUGCUUGUGACUCACAGGGCAGGACAAGCUUUAGAUGCAAUGUCUGCUAUUUCAAACAGGGUGCUUAAUUCUUAUGAUGGUGUUCUCGCUGUUGGUGGUGAUGGCUUUUUCAAUGAAAUUCUUAAUGGCCUUCUCUUGUCAAGGCAUAAGGCAACUUAUCCCCCAUCACCUACUGAAUUUAGUCACUCAGUUAAUAAAGAUGACAAUAACUUGGUUUAUUUGAAAGAAACUCAUGUUGGAACUUCUGAGCAAAAUGAAGGAAGUUCUCAUCUUUUGUCAAUACCAGAAACUAUUAAAUCACAAACAAAAAAUCAUAGACCAGAAGAUGAUAUAUGUAAUUCUGCAGAUCAAGAAGGCAACUUUCAUUUCCCAAAUGAAAGGUUUAGAUUUGGACUUAUCCCUGCAGGUUCAACUGAUGCUAUCGUGAUGUGUACCACCGGAGCCCGAGAUCCAACAACAUCAGCAUUACAUAUUGUCCUCGGUAAAAGGAUUAGCCUUGACAUUGCUCAGAUUGUGCGGUGGAAAGCUACCUUUACAUCUAAGGAAGAGAUUUCUGUGCGUUAUGCAGCUUCUUUUGCUGGGUACGGAUUCUACGGUGAUGUCAUUACAGAGAGUGAAAAAUACCGGUGGAUGGGCCCCAAGAGAUAUGAUUAUGCAGGGACAAAAGUGUUUCUUAAACACAGUGCAUAUGAAGCAGAGGUGACAUAUGUGGAAGACAUAAUAGAUGAUAAUAUUAGUGCUGGUAGCAGAACAAAACCAUUUUUGGGACCACCUAAAAAGUCAGAAAGAGUUGCUUGUCGUGUUAAAUGUGGUGUUUGCAAUACGAAGCCGGUCCAAAUAUCAGCUGAGCCAAACUUACAUGAAUCAAAAUGGUUAAGGUCUAGAGGUAAAUUUCUUAGCGUCGGUGCUGCUGUAAUAGCUUGCCGUAAUGAGAAGGCACCUGAUGGUUUGGUAGCUGAUGCACACCUUUCAGAUGGUUUCCUUCACCUCAUAUUGAUCAAGGAUUGCCCCAGAGCAUUAUAUCUGUGGCAUCUAACUCAGCUUGCAAGGAAGGGUGGACAUCCGCUAAAGUUUGACUUUGUGGAGCACCACAAAACCAGGGCUUUUACAUUCAGAUCUAUUGGCAAAGAGAGUGUGUGGAACGUGGACGGCGAGCUCUUUUCCGCCCAUCAACUUUCAGCGCAAGUAUUCAGAGGCCUGGUUAGCUUAUUUGCUGCUGGCCCUGAGGUUUAACUUAAACCCUCAAGACAUGACAUUCAUAAAAAUAGCUAUGUUAUCCACUUCAGGUAUCUCCAGUACCAAGAAAGAGCCAUCUUCUUCUUCUUCUUGUCCUCUCCUCACAAGUGAUAGUAUAUUGAACCUGUAAUCAUAGCUGCCAUUUGUGAUUGUAUCCGUAUAUAUAGUAGAAAUUGCAGAUAGAUCAACAUGAUACUUUACAAACCACCCUGAGUAAUCUCUAGCCAUCUCAUACACAUUGAACAAACAAGUGGAAUCAGAAUACACAUCAAUCAGAUGCCAAUGACCCUGAGACUCGCCGAGAUAAGUAGCUACCUGCUCAGGCAAGUCCUGGUCAGGCAUUACAACUGCCUGAAUGUUCUUCCUGGUCAUCGGCAGUUGUUCUACUCUCUCUUCCUCCACUUUGAAGUACAGAGUGUACUGUUCAUCGUUCCAAAGACUGACAAAGCCAUUCCACCAGUGAACACAACCAUUCCAAUAUAUACAAUUUUCGAAUUUGGUAAACUGUGGUGCUUUAAAAGGCUGACCAGAGACUCUCCAUAGUCGAGUUUCAUAUGAAUAAAUCUCAAUCUGAAAAGGAUUGUCGGACGUUUUAGAUUGUCUGACACAAACAACUUUGUAGUAAGGCGAUCUUGCAGGAUCAAACGCUAGACUCAUACCGCAUACAUUUUUGAGUGUUCUUGUUUGAUUUGAAGAAGGGUAGCGAAAUGCUUAGUGGUAGGGUUGUACACAUAGUAUCUACGGUUUAAUAUACGUGCUCGAUAGCUAGCACAUAGCAGGAGCCCGUUGCAAGACUGAAGAACAGAUAUGCCUGAACGUAAAGGGUCGUGAACGAAAUCAAGACUUUUGAAGGGGGUCGGGCAAUCAUCACUGACGUCGAGAGGAAUGAACUGGUAGUCGGGGGUGCUUCUGCAGGAGGAACGGAUGAAGAAGAGGGCAGAGGCGGAGGGGAGAGGAUUGUGAAGACGAACAAAGCGUGGAUUAGUAAUGAGAGAGUACCAGUGCUUGGAUACAGAUUUGAAACUCAGCAGUUUCUUUAUAGGGACAUGUAGCAGAAUCUGGAUCAAGAGAUCUUCACUUGACGCAACUUUGACAGCAGAAGCUAUUACAGAAGAAGAUUCAGGGCCAGGAUCGUGCAAUGAAACAGGAGAAAGCUGUUGAGAUGUUCUGCUUUUUUUGGCUCCCAGCUUAAUCAUAUUGAAUUCUAAUAUUGUGUAAGGCUGAUUUGUGAUAGAGCGACGAGGUCCACAUUAUAUACACAAACUGGCCUGAAUUAUUUAUUGACAUUAGAUCGCCAAUCAACAACCGUGGGAGGAUUCCUGAACAAUCUUAUGCUGGUUGACUUAUAAUAAUCUCUCUGUCCCAUUUUAUACGAGCUGAUUUGAAUAACAUAUUUUAAGAAAAUUAAUGUAUGA